AAUGAACGCUGGCGGCAGGCUUAACACAUGCAAGUCGAACGGAUCCUUCGGGAUUAGUGGCGGACGGGUGAGUAACGCGUGGGAACAUACCCAAAGGUACGGAAUAGCCUCGGGAAACUGGGAGUAAUACCGUAUGUGCUCGAAAGAGGAAAGAUUUAUCGCCUUUGGAUUGGCCCGCGUUGGAUUAGGUAGUUGGUGGGGUAAUGGCCUACCAAGCCGACGAUCCAUAGCUGGUUUGAGAGGAUGAUCAGCCACACUGGGACUGAGACACGGCCCAGACUCCUACGGGAGGCAGCAGUGGGGAAUCUUAGACAAUGGGGGAAACCUUGAUCUAGCCAUGCCGCGUGAUCGAUGGAGGCCUUAGGGUUGUAAAGAUCUUUCAGGUGGGAAGAUAAUGACUGUACCACCAAAAGAAGCCCCGGCUAACUCCGUGCCAGCAGCCGCCGUAA
rnacentral:rRNA from 1 species